UUGGACCUUAAUGUAGACCAAUUUGAAAACAGGACCAAAAAUUAGGAAUCUGAAUACACGGUUAGAUUUGGCAUAUCAAAGAACCCAAAUAAUUCAUUUUUUGAUGAAAUCAAAGUUUAAUUUUGGACCCUUUUGGCCCCUAAUUCGUUGGGACCAAAACUCCCAAAAUCAAUCCAAACCUUCCUUUUGUGGUCAUAAACCUUGUGUUAAAAUUUCAUUGAUUUCUAUUCACUUUUACUAAAGUUAGAGUGCGAAAACUAAAAGUAUUCGGACGACGACGACGACGACGACAACGUGAUAGCAAUAUACGACCAAAAAAUUAAAAUUUUUGCGGUCAUAUAAAAA
rnacentral:lncRNA from 1 species